UACACUGCGACAACUGGGAGGUCCUUUAAACAAAAUGGAACGGCCAGAGAUUAAAUAGCCAAUAACGGCUAACUUUUCUCACUUGAAACUGUGGAGAAAAUCAGGGUGAUUUCACUUGGUGGCAAUGUGAGUCUCUUCUCUCUGACUGACAGCAUGUUCUCCACGUGCAUGGCGAUGACUCGGCACAGCUCCAGGCCCUGGAAAACAUCAUAUAGACCCUUAAAGAAACAACACUGGACUUAAGAUGAAGAGUGAAUGUAGACUGCACAGUGGAAAUGAAGCCCAUUCAGAUUAACAGCCAGGAUGCAUGGGGCGUGGACGGAGGAAGAGCCAGAACUCUGGAUGUAGAAGAAGGAGGAGCCAAACAUGGGGAAGGCACUGACCAGACCUGGGCAAAAACACACCAAAGAUCACUUCUGAUAAGCUGCCACAUUCAAAUUGCGAGUGCCUUUCGAUGCCACCUGGGAGCAGGAACAGCUGUCUCUUGGAGCUACGCCCGGCCUGUACACGGACAACAAAUCAGAGGGAAACGUCACAGACUGCUGUCCACAGCUGUUACUGAGAGUAGUCAUGUAGCAAAGUCACAUCUGAACAUGACAGACAGACACCACGGUAUGAAAGAUAUCACUGUAGAUUAAUUAGCACGCCCUGAUCUGUCUGAUAAAGGAGACUAUACGGUCAAGUCAAGUCAAGUUUAUUUAUAAAGCACAUUUAAAAACAACCGAGGCUGACCAAAGUGCUGUACAAUAAAAUACAAAUAUAAAAUACUAUAAAACACAGGUACAUAAAAUGCCUCACAAAUAAAACAAUAAAUUAAAAACAAUAGGUUAAACCUUGCUAAAAGCCAGUGAAAAUAGGUGAGUUUUAAGAGCAGUUUUAAAAGGGACUAUCCCGAUUGUUUUUCCGUAUUUUUAAACACCUGUUGACACUUUCAGUCAAUAAAUGUUAGCAAUUCUUACAAUUUUGACAUAUUUCAAGCCACAAAGGAACACCGUGUAGCUUAUUUACA